CUGUGAGCUCGAUGAGUAGGGCGGGACACGUGGUAUCCUGUCUGAAUAUGGGGGGACCAUCCUCCAAGGCUAAAUACUCCUGACUGACCGAUAGUGAACCAGUACCGUGAGGGAAAGGCGAAAAGAACCCCGGCGAGGGGAGUGAAAAAGAACCUGAAACCGUGUACGUACAAGCAGUGGGAGCCUCUUUAUGGGGUGACUGCGUACCUUUUGUAUAAUGGGUCAGCGACUUAUAUUCUGUAGCAAGGUUAACCGAAUAGGGGAGCCGAAGGGAAACCGAGUCUUAACUGGGCGUUAAGUUGCAGGGUAUAGACCCGAAACCCGGUGAUCUAGCCAUGGGCAGGUUGAAGGUUGGGUAACACUAACUGGAGGACCGAACCGACUAAUGUUGAAAAAUUAGCGGAUGACUUGUGGCUGGGGGUGAAAGGCCAAUCAAACCGGGAGAUAGCUGGUUCUCCCCGAAAGCUAUUUAGGUAGCGCCUCGUGAAUUCAUCUCCGGGGGUAGAGCACUGUUUCGGCAAGGGGGUCAUCCCGACUUACCAACCCGAUGCAAACUGCGAAUACCGGAGAAUGUUAUCACGGGAGACACACGGCGGGUGCUAACGUCCGUCGUGAAGAGGGAAACAACCCAGACCGCCAGCUAAGGUCCCAAAGUCAUGGUUAAGUGGGAAACGAUGUGGGAAGGCCCAGACAGCCAGGAUGUUGGCUUAGAAGCAGCCAUCAUUUAAAGAAAGCGUAAUAGCUCACUGGUCGAGUCGGCCUGCGCGGAAGAUGUAACGGGGCUAAACCAUGCACCGAAGCUGCGGCAGCGACACUAUGUGUUGUUGGGUA
rnacentral:rRNA from 1 species